CACGUAGGGCGCAAGCGUUGUCCGGAAUUAUUGGGCGUAAAGAGCUCGUAGGCGGUCUGUUACGUCUGCUGUGAAAGCCCAGGGCUUAACCCUGGGCUUGCAGUGGAUACGGGCAGACUAGAGGCAGGUAGGGGAGAAUGGAAUUCCCGGUGUAGCGGUGAAAUGCGCAGAUAUCGGGAGGAACACCGGUGGCGAAGGCGGUUCUCUGGGCCUGACCUGACGCUGAGGAGCGAAAGCGUGGGGAGCGAACAGG
rnacentral:rRNA from 1 species